AGAGCCGCUGGUGCUUCCCAGGCCGUCGCGCUCCUGGCCGCGCACCCAGCCAGGGACCCAGAGGCCCUCAGCCCCGGGCUCUGCGCGUACACUGAGGGCGCGGCGCAGCAGGACAGCAAGAUAAGGAAGCAGAGACUGAAGGGAGGAAUCCCCGCUUUCCGGGGAUGAUGGCGUUCGAGUUGGGUCUGUGAGGGAUGAAAUAGGAGUUGGCCAGAGGGAGAGAGGGACUCUAGGCCUCGAGAAGAGCACGUGCAGAGGUUCCGUGACACGAAAACGCCAGGUGGGUGCGGGGCUGGGAGGACAGGAGGCAGAAGGGUUUACGGCUCCACAUGGUCGCCGAAAUUUUAGGUCCCUGAGAGUAAAGGGGUGCAGCUGAUUUCAUCUAGAAAGCCCCUGGCCGGGAGGAGAGAACGAGCUUGCUUGCCUGGGGUUGCAAAGGAGUGGGUAGCUGAGACGGCCAGCACCCCAGCAUCCUGACUCAGGGCCAGACGCUUCACCCCAUUGGGCGGCGUCUGGAGGAGCAGACACAUCUCUUGUGGGUACCCUCGAAAGUGAAUCAUGGGUCGCAGGGAACUGUGGUCAAACCGUCUCUAGCUAGAUGCUAGAGAGCCAGCUCUGCAGGCUCAGGCUACUGUGAGACACGAAAGGAGGGACUCGCUGGGCACAGCCUCACCCUGGGGCAUGCCAGCAGGCCCUGCCCUCUGAGUGUUGGCAGACUUGAACAUCCCUAGGGAACGAGAGAAGUUGGGCAACGAUGGGAGAGCAGUGCAGGCCCUGGAGGUGACGAGUCUGUUGAGAUUCUGAUGGGGAUGGGUCAGAGGACGUAGAAAGCAGUGAAGGCCUAGACGCCCCCAGGUCAGUGUAGCCUGCUCUGCUUCCAGUGAGCUGGGCUCAGUCCCCCACAUGUCAUUGUCUUAGACGCCCAUGGCCUUUGCACAGGCCGAGCCUGAUGUUUGGAACAUCGUCGCCUCUAGGGGGCCUGGCUCCUAAUCAUGCAUCACCUCCUCCAGGAGAACUUUCCUGCCCCUACACUGAGUUCAAGCUUCUCAGACACCAGCCCCAGUUGAGUUCGAGUUAUAACCGUCACCAGUUAUCACACCAUCCUGUAAUCUGUGCGGUGCCCCUUAGGGCAGGACCUGGGUCCUAGAUGUCUCUGUACCUCUAGCCCCAAACCAGGCCUGACCUGUCUCUUGAAGGAGUAUUUGUGUUGAAGAUGGGUGGUAACGUUCAGCAAAAGCCAUGCCCAGGAGACAGGCACAGUACCCAUGGAGACCCAGGGCCAGCUGAUGACAGUGAUGAAUUCCCUUUAGAACUGGCGGACUCUUGGGUGCUUGGAGACACUAUAUAAAUAAGGAACUCUGGCUGUGUGCAUGGGAGAGUAUAUUAACAGGGCUUGGCCUGGCUGUGAGGUGCAGAGAUGCCGUUUCUCUCAGGCUGGGAACUUCAGGAAAGCCAGGACCAAGUCAAUCUUGAUCUAGGCUCUGUCUUCAGCAUCUAGAACCAGGCUUGGCACCAACUGAGACAAUUUGGCCAUCUACACACUGAUAUAUAUGCACAUCCUUGGACCCAGCAGUUGCACUCCAGUGUGCAACAGGAUGAAUGGUUACAGAUAUCAUGGUACAUUCAUAAGACAGAAUCCAAUGCAAUUCAAAGAAGGAGCUGGAUCUAUGUGUCCUGACAUUGCCCAGGCUCAGAACACUUGGCUCCAUUGCUUCACUGUUUCCCUGCUAGCACGAACCCCCCAAACUCCAUCUCCCAACAUGCCGCGGGCCCCCUUUCUGUCAGCCUGACUCUUGAGCUCCUGAGAAAUGUAGUUUUUCCAGCGGCCCAGCCCCAGAAAGGUCCUAGCCAAGAACUACAGUUCCCAUGUGGCAAUGCGCGCGCCAUUCCGGUGGAAUUCACCGCGGUCUCCAGUUUGCCAUGAUGGAUGCCAGAACCUGCACGUGGGGCUUGGUGACGCGAUGACUGAGAUGCUGGAGUCCCCGGUCAGAAGGACGAUGCCGAGCGCGCCGUAUUUUCUCCUGCCUCUCCUCAGAUCGCCGCCGUUGUUGGGCUGUGGAGACGUCUCAACCAAAGUGGAGCCGACAGAGGCCCCGGGAGCCGUGGUGACAGAGCGGCCACAACCACUAGGGGGCGGGAGGCAGAGCGGCCCCUAGUCCGCCCCUAGUCCGGGACCUCUGGGCGGUCCCGGGCGGGAAGCGCACGCGCAAACGCGGGGCUUCGCGGCCGCUGUAAACACCAAAGAGCGCCUGCGCAAGCCGAGAGUCUCGGGAUCGACACGUGGGGGCGCCUGAGCGAAGAUAACCGUAAUAAAUAGUAACCUAACGGUCC
rnacentral:lncRNA from 1 species